CCAGAAGCUCCUGCUCAGUAACUACAGACGCGAAGCUCAGCCUCUCGGUUUGGGAAUUUUCUUGGAGGCCGAGGCCCUGCGCCUCUGUCUGCACCCAAGGCGACCGCCCAGCUUACCCCCGGCUCUUCUGAGCACAGGGAGGCCUCCCAGCAAAGCCUGAACCCUCUAAGUUUAGCUGCAGGCUUCGAACCCCGACCGUCCCCGCCGAGCCUUGGGCUGCUGAGGUGGGGAUGAACUGGGCGAAAGACACUUGGGAGUUAGGAAGAAACAAACAAGCAGGGAAGUGACCAGGAGACAAGAUGGGCGUCCACAGAAUGAAUACAGGAAUGUCUGUCUGCCUGUCUGUGUAUACUCUGUGAAGGAAUAUACCAACAUUACAUGCUGACCCAAGGAUAGCCAGUACGCCUUCUGCAAGAGGAAAGUUUGUGUUUCAAAAUCCAUCAAGUGAAAGAGAACAGAAAAAUUCAGAGGGCGUCAUUCACGGUAUCAUUUGAGGAUAUGCUGCAGCAAAAUGAGUGAAUAAACAAGAAAGUCAAAGACAUGGGAUUGAGGAAACAGUGACUUCAGCCCAAGAUUGGAAUGACAGGGAGCCCCAGGCCACUGGGCAGCAGCACAGACAGCAAUCUGUUCAGACUGCAGCAGAACAGCAAACUCCUGGAGCAGGUAUGUGGGAGCUGGGAAAAGACGGUUGCAGAGAUGGAGUAGUAUCCUUGAGGAUAUGAAGCUACUCAAAUAUGUAGUAAAGGCAAAUGAUGGGGGGAAAAAAGGAAGGCAAUUAGAAACUCCAAAAAAAUUACACAGAAAAUGUAAUCUGGGUCCUGCAAUCAACUAUUUUAAUACAAUCAUAAUAAAUAUUUUACUGAUUUUCUAUGUGUAGAUCAACUGACUACAAAGAAAAACUAUGAUUACAGAAUACAAAGUAGAUAUUUUUAAUUCUCAGCAAUACAAAAGUACAAGUGAUAAAAACUGAGAAGCAAAGUAGGAGUUAGAGAAGUAGAAGAAAAAAUUGGGGCACUAAUAUCUUCAUUUUUAAAAGUAUCAAGAGGUGGCGGGGGUUCCAAGAUGGCCGAAUAGGACCAGCUCCAGUCUACAGCUCCCAGUAUGAGCGACACAGAAGACGGGUGACUUCUGCAUUUCCAACUGAGGUACCGCAUUCAUCUCACUGGGGCUUGUCAGACACUGGGUGCAGCCCACAGAGUGUGAGCCGAAGCAGGGCGAGGCAUCGCCUCACCUGGGAAGCACAAGGGGUCAGGAAUUCCCUUUACUAGCCAAGGGAAGCUGUGGCAGAUGGUACCUGGAAAAUCGGGACACUCCCACCCUAAUAUUGCGCUUUUCCAACAGCCUUAACAAACAGCACACCAGGAGAUUAUAUCCCGCGCCUGGCUCAGAGGGUCCCAUGCCCACGGAGCCUCGCUCAUUGCUAGCACAGCAGUCUGAGAUCAAACUGCAAGGCGGCAGUGAGGCUGGGGGAGGGGCAUCCGCCAUUGCUAAGGCUUGAGUAGGUAAACAAAGCGGCCUGGAAGCUCGAACUGGGUGGAGCCCACCACAGCUCAAGGAGGCCUGCCUGCCUCUGUAGACUCCACCUCUGGGGGCAGGGCAUAGCUGAACAAAAGGCAGCAGAAACUUCUGCAGAAUUAAACAUCCCUGUCUGACAGCUUUGAAGACAGUAGUGGUUCUCCCAGCACAGUUUGAGAUCUGAGAACAGACAGACUACCUCCUCAAGUGGACCCCUGACCCCUGAGUAGCCUAACUGGUAGGCACCUCCCAGUAGGGGCCGACUGACACCUCAUAUGGCUGGGUGCCCCUCUGAGACAAAGCUUCCAGAGGAAGGAUCAGGCAGCAACAUUGGCCAUUCUGCAAUAUUUGCUGUUCUGCAGCCUCCACUGGUGAUACUCAGGCAAACAAGGUCUGGAGUGGACCUACAGCAAACUCCAACAGACCUGUAGCUGAAGGUCCUGUUAGAAGGAAAACUAACAAACAGAAAGGACAUCCACACCAAAACCCCAUCUGUAUGUCACCAUCAUCAAAGACCAAAGGUAGAUAAAACCAUAAAGAUGGGGAGAAACUAGAGCAGAAAAGCUGAAAAUUCUAAAAAUCAGAGCACCUAUUCUCCUCCAAAGUAACGCAGCUCCUCGCCAGCAGCAGAACAAAGCUGGACAGAGAACAACUUUGACAAGUUGAGAGAAGAAGGCUUCAAACGAUCAGUAAUAACAAACUUCUCCGAGCUAAAGGAGGAUGUUCGAACCCAUCGCAAAAAAGCUAAAAACAUGCAAAAAAGAGUAGACGAAUGGCUAACUACAAUAAACAGCAUACAGAAGACCUCAGGUACCCAAUGGAGCUGAAAACCAUGGCACGAGAACUAUAUGACACAUGCACAAGCUUCAGUAGCCGAUUUGAUCAAGUGGAAGAAAGGGUAUCAGUGAUUGUAGAUCAAAUGAAUGAAAUGAAGUGAGAAGAGUUUAGAGAAAAAAGAGUAAAAAGAAAUGAACGAAGCCUCUGAGAAAUAUGAGACUAUGUGAAGAGACCAAAUCUACGUUUGACUGGUAUACCUGAAAGUGAUGGGGAGAAUGGAACCAAGUUGGAAAACACUCUUCAGGGUAUUAUCCAGGAGAACUUCCCCAAC
rnacentral:lncRNA from 10 species